rnacentral:rRNA from 1 species
UAUCUCUGUAGAGUCUGCAUAUCAAUAAGCGGAGGAAAAGAAACUAACAAGGAUUCCCUUAGUAACGGCGAGUGAAGCGGGAAGAGCUCAAAUUUGAAAUCUUCAAGGUUUUACCUUGACGAAUUGUAGUUUAAAGAAGUGUUUUCUGUUGAAGUUUCGGUAAAAGUUCUUUGGAAUAGGACAUCAUAGAGGGUGAGAAUCCCGUAUUUGACCGUUAUUUUCAGCUGUGUGAUACACUUUCAAAGAGUCGGAUUGUUUGGGAAUGCAGUCCAAAAUGGGUGGUAAAUUUCAUCUAAAGCUAAAUAUUGGCGAGAGACCGAUAGCGAACAAGUACCGUGAGGGAAAGAUGAAAAGAACUUUGAAAAGAGAGUUAAACAGUACGUGAAAUUGUCAAAAGGGAAGCGUUUGACACCAGUGUUGUUUUCCUCGAAAAUCAAUUAAAAAUAGAUUUGAUUUUGUGUUGUAUUGACCUUAAAAGCUUUCUUCACUUUUUUCAUGUCUUUUUUAAUGCACUUUUCGUUUAACAAGUCAACAUCAGUUUCUUUUGUUGUAAAAAGGUCAUUGGAAGGUGGCUUUCUUUUCGGAGAAAGUGUUUAUAGCCUUUGACUCCUGCAAUCGGAGAGACUGAGGUCUGCAGCGUAGAUCCUUCUUGGAUUAGAUUCAUUUGUGCUAAGUUAUAGCCUUUUCAUAGACAACUUGUUGACUAUGCUCAGUCAUGUAGCUUACUCGCUUAUGCUAUUUUACCUACGCUUAGGAUGUUGAUCUCUCACAGUCGAGC